AGUGAAAUGGCUGAAUUAUAAGUGAUAAAUUGUAAAUUUAUUUAUGGAUAUAAAAUAUUCUUUUACUA
rnacentral:tRNA from 1 species